rnacentral:rRNA from 1 species
UACGAAGGGUGCAAGCGUUAAUCGGAAUUACUGGGCGUAAAGCGUGCGCAGGCGGUUUUGUAAGUCUGUCGUGAAAGCCCCGGGCUCAACCUGGGAAUUGCGUUGGAGACUGCAAGGCUAGAAUCUGGCAGAGGGGGGUAGAAUUCCACGUGUAGCAGUGAAAUGCGUAGAGAUGUGGAGGAACACCGAUGGCGAAGGCAGCCCCCUGGGUCAAGAUUGACGCUCAUGCACGAAAGCGUGGGGAGCAAACAGG